UGGGGAAUAUUGCACAAUGGGGGAAACCCUGAUGCAGCGACGCCGCGUGAACGAAGAAGGUAUUCGUAUCGUAAAGUUCUGUCCUAUGGGAAGAUAAUGACAGUACCAUAGAAGAAAGCUCCGGCUAAAUACGUGCCAGCAGCCGCGGUAAUACGUAUGGAGCGAGCGUUGUCCGGAAUUAUUGGGCGUAAAGGGUACGCAGGCGGUUUAAUAGGUCGAAUGUUAAAGAUCGGGGCUCAACCCCGUAAAGCAUUGGAAACUGAUAAACUUGAGUAGUGGAGAGGAAAGUGGAAUUCCUAGUGUAGUGGUGAAAUACGUAGAUAUUAGGAGGAAUACCAGUAGCGAAGGCGACUUUCUGGACACAAACUGACGCUGAGGUACGAAAGCGUGGGGAGCAAACAGG
rnacentral:rRNA from 1 species